rnacentral:rRNA from 1 species
CACGUAGGAGGCGAGCGUUGUCCGGAAUCAUUGGGCGUAAAGAGCGCGCAGGCGGCUUCGCAAGUCAGACGUGAAAUCCCCGGGCUUAACCUGGGAAUGGCGUUUGAAACUACGGAGCUGGAGUGUGGCAGAGGGAGGUAGAAUUCCACGUGUAGCGGUGAAAUGCGUAGAUAUGUGGAGGAAUACCGAUGGCGAAGGCAGCCUCCUGGGCCAACACUGACGCUCAUGCACGAAAGCGUGGGGAGCAAACAGG